rnacentral:rRNA from 1 species
GACGAACGCUGGCGGCGUGCUUAACACAUGCAAGUCGAACGGAAAGGCCCUGCUUUUGUGGGGUGCUCGAGUGGCGAACGGGUGAGUAACACGUGAGUAACCUGCCCUUGACUUUGGGAUAACUUCAGGAAACUGGGGCUAAUACCGGAUAGGAUCUCCUGCUGCAUGGUGGGGGUUGGAAAGUUUCGGCGGUUGGGGAUGGACUCGCGGCUUAUCAGCUUGUUGGUGGGGUAGUGGCUUACCAAGGGUUUGACGGGUAGCCGGCCUGUGAGGGUGACCGGCGACAUGGGGACUGAGAUACGGACCAGACGACUACGGGAGGCAGCAGGGGGGAAGAUUGCACAAUGGGCGGAAGCCUGAUGCAGCAACGCCGCGUGCGGGAUGACGGCCUUCGGGUUGUAAACCGCUUUCGCCUGUGACGAAGCGUGAGUGACGGUAAUGGGUAAAGAAGCACCGGCUAACUACGUG